rnacentral:rRNA from 1 species
UACGAAGGGGGCUAGCGUUGUUCGGAAUCACUGGGCGUAAAGGGGUUCGUAGGCGGUGCGGCAAGUCGGGAGUGAAAUCUCUGGGCUUAACCCAGAGGCUGCUUCCGAAACUGCUGUGCUUGAGUGUGGGAGAGGCGCGUGGAAUUGCAGGUGUAGCGGUGAAAUGCGUAGAUAUCUGCAGGAACACCCGUGGCGAAAGCGGCGCGCUGGACCACUACUGACGCUGAGGAACGAAAGCUAGGGGAGCAAACAGG